rnacentral:lncRNA from 1 species
AUGAAUUACGCCACCUUGGAGGGUUUUUUGCUUUGCCGAUGUGUCGUUAGACAUUAGUAAACAUUCUUGUUCAAAGACAGAUUUUGUGGCAAUUGUGUCUUGGUGUAGCCAGAGUCUGAUACAAACUUCAGCAAUAGAUCUUGUUUUUGUCCUAAAAUAUCCAGUCCCUUGCCAUAUAUAGUUCCAGUCCUUCCUCCGACAAUGGUAGCCCGUCGCACAAGCCAUUUUUUAAAAUUUUGGUGAUGGAAGUUGAUCCGAGGAGAGACAUGGUGCGAGAGAAGAACCUCAGGUAUGAGAAAUUGUAAUGAUCAGAUUGUUUUUGUGGAAGAAUUUGUUGUUACAAAGAAAUCAUUUUUUAUUUUUGAUUAUUCUCUUGAAGUUCCAAUUUGAUUUUAAUUUCUCUCUUCAGUGAUUUUCUUGCUAAUUUUUCAGUAUUUUCAUAUUUUGUGAUUGAAUAGCAUUGAAUGAUUCAUUAAGAAUGAAAUACUUUUGCAAUAAUUCCCCUCAAUGUUUGUGAUUCUUUUUAUCAAUUAUCACAGCAAAUAGUUAGUAUCCAAUUGAGACAAAUGAAAGGGGCGUAGAAUAAACCCCAGAGAAGAAAUUUUAAAAUAUUUAUCAAAAUGUAGUUUUAUAUUUUUUUUUAAUUUUUUUUUUUGUAAAUUACAUAAAACAUUCUAAAAAAGUUUAUGUUCAUAACACUUUAAAUGGUGUAAAAAAAAUCAACAAGAAAAUUCUAAUCAUUUACGUACAAGUUUUUCAUUAUUUCCUAUUUAAUGAGUAAACAAACCUUCAUGCAUAUAAAUAGCAAAAAUGUCACUGAACGUUAGAGCAUCUCCAACGGAGAACGUAAAAGAAGAGUCAAAAUGAAAAUCUUGUACUUUUAGCUAUUUUAUUUGGUUAUGUCAGCUCCAACCGGGGAGCUAAACUCAGCUAAAAUAGCUGUUGAGUACGGUAAAAGCCAUUCCUAUCUUCUCUUGUAGCAAAAGGCAAAUGUAGCAAAAAGAUAAAUAAAGACGUUGGCAGCUGUUUUUAUUCUCUGUCGAUUGUAUCUGUUGGCCAACGUAUAUAUUUUGUAUCCGUUGGCCAACGUUAGUAUUUUUCAUUUAAAAGGAGAACGAACCGAAAGAAGAAGAUAAGAUUUACGCAAAAUAGAAAGAAAAAAAAAUUACCUGCAAAUUUCACCAUUUUCUUUUAUUUAGAAAAAAAGAAUUAAUUGUUCUCCAGGUAAUUAAUAACAUCGAUUGUGUUAAUUAGCUGAAAUCAAAAGGUAUGUUUGCUUAAAGACUUUUUCUAUUUUUAUUAUUUUUUUGCAUCUCUUGAUUUUUAUUUGCUAUUUGUAAUUAUUUUUAUUUCUUUGUUAUUUUAUGUUUUUGAUCUGGGUUAAGGAAGAUAAUUUUUAUUUAUAUUGUUAUCUUUGACAAAAUUGAAAGGAAGUAAUGAUGGUAGCUGAUAUUGAUAAAAACAUGAAGUGAUAUAUCUUAAAUUUAUUUUUGAUUCCCUAUUUUAAUUUGAGGUCAAUUAUAUUUUGUCUUGUUAAAAAUACAACUAAACCAAGUGAUUAGAUUAAUUGCAUGAUUAGAUUAAUGUUAGAACAAGUAGAAGGCAAUUCUUAUUAUUAAUCCACAUGUAUGAAAACUAUAAAAUUGCUAGGCAUCGAAUGUGAGCUUCCUUUACACCCUUUUAUAAGGUUUUAACUUGAGUUUAUUUUUUUUAAUAUAGAUGGAUUCAAAUUUUCCAAGCUCUUUUACCA